GAUUGUAGUCUGCAACUCGACUGCAUGAAGCUGGAAUCGCUAGUAAUCGCGAAUCAGAAUGUCGCGGUGAAUACGUUCCCGGGUCUUGUACACACCGCCCGUCACACCAUGGGAGCCGACAACGCCCGAAGUCAGUGACCUAACCGAGAGGGAGGAGCUGCCGAAGGCGGGGUUGGUAACUGGGGUGAAGUCGUAACAAGGUACC
rnacentral:rRNA from 1 species